rnacentral:rRNA from 1 species
UACGUAGGGUGCGAGCGUUAAUCGGAAUUACUGGGCGUAAAGCGUGCGCAGGCAGUCUGUUAAGACCGAUGUGAAAUCCCCGGGCUUAACCUGGGAACUGCAUUGGUGACUGGCAGGCUUUGAGUGUGGCAGAGGGAGGUAGAAUUCCACGUGUAGCAGUGAAAUGCGUAGAGAUGUGGAGGAAUACCGAUGGCGAAGGCAGCCUCCUGGGCCAACACUGACGCUCAUGCACGAAAGCGUGGGGAGCAAACAGGA